UGAGGAUCCCGUUGAUUCUGCCAGUAGUCAUAUGCUUGUCUCAAAGAUUAAGCCAUGCAAGUCUAAGUCUAAGUAUAAUCAAAUUAACUGAUGACACUGCGAAAAGCUCCUUAAAAUAGUUAUAAUUUAUUUGAUAGUGACGUUACUACUCGGAUAGCCGUAGUAAUUCUAGAGCUAAUACGUGCGUAAGCGCCUGACUGCGUGAGCGGAAGGGCCGUGUUUAUUAGAUCGAAAACCAGCAUUGUUUGGGUGGGCAACCGUCCUUGCAAGCUUUAUGGUGAGUCAUGAUAAUCGUCGUAUCGGCCUCGUGCCGAUUGUUCAUUCAAAUUUCUAACCUAUCAACCUGACGUUAAGGUAGUGUCUUAGAGUAGUCGUGACGGGUGACGGGGAAUCAGGGUUCGACACCGGAGAGGGCGCAUGAGAAAUGGCGACCAUCACUAAGGUGAGCAGCAGGCGCGCAAAUUACCCACUGGCAAUUAAUUUGCUGAGGUAGUGACAAAAAUACCGAUAUCGGGCUUCGGUUCGACAAUUGGAAUGGGGUGGGUGCAAAUAGCCCGCCGAGCAACCAUUAGAGGGCAAGUCUGGUGCCAGCAGCCGCGGUAAUUCCAGCUCUAAUAGUGUAUACUAACGUUGCUGAUGUUAAAAAGCUCGUAGUUGGAUUUAAGAUGGAGCUAUUCGUCCCUGUGUUUUGUUGGUUCGGAUUGCUGGCGGGUUGCCUGCUUUCCCGUUGUGGGUUGAUUCAUGAUCCCAGCGGGGGAGGGGUGCUCGUUGGCGCCGGGUCAGCCGCAGGGAUUGCUUCGUCAAUUUUAUUUUCGAAUUGUCACGGUCCACUUCAGUGUGGUACUGUGGCGGUCCGGAAGGUUUACUUUGAAGAAAAUGGAGUGUUCAAAGCAGGCGUCUCGCAGCUGAACACAUUAGCAUGGAAUAAUAAAAUAGGACAUCAGUGGAUUGCUCGCCGGCCUCGUUUUUUCCCUAUGCGUUUUCUGUCAGGAGGGGUUGUCGUGCAUUUCGGUGUGCGGCGGUCUUUUUUGGCGGGGCGUGUGGGGGGCGGGGAUGUCGGGGCAGUUCUGCUUUUUUGUAUGCAUCCGUUUUGUUGGUUUUCAGGAGCUGGUGUAAUGAUUAAUAGGGACUGUCGGGGGCAUUAGUAUUGCAUUGUCAGAGGUGAAAUUCUUGGAUUUAUGCAAGACUAACUAGUGCGAAAGCAUUUGCCAAGGAUGUUUUCAUUAAUCAAGAACGAAAGUGAGGGGAUCGAAGACGAUCAGAAACCGUCGUAGUCCUCGCCAUAAACUAUACCGUCUAGGGAUUGGGGGUUGACCUUUAUACAUAGUCUCCUUUAGCACCUUAGGGAAACCAAAGUUUUCGGGUUCAUGGGGGAGUAUGGCCGCAAGACUGAAACUUAAAGAAAUUGACGGAAGGGCACCACCAGAUGUGGAGCAUGCGGCUCAAUUCGACUCAACACGGGGAAACUUAUCAGGUUCGGACACGGUGAGGAUUGACAGAUUGAUAGCUCUUUCUUGAUUCCGUGGGUGGUGGUGCAUGGUCGUUCUUAGUUGGUGGGGUGGCUUGUCUGCUUAAUUGCGAUAACGAACGAGACCUCGGUCUGCUAACUAACAGCGCCCUAUGGCUCGCAAGUGUCGUAGGGUGGUUACUGUUCCUUAGAGAGACUACCGUUGAGAAACGGGGGAAGUGAGGCAAUAACAGGUCCGUUAUGCCCUUAGAUAAUCUGAACCGCACGCGUACUACUAUAGCCAUCUCAACGAGUUUGUCCUGGCCUGGAAGGGUUGGGUAAUCUUUGGAGUAAUGGCUGUGCUGGGGAUCGGUUUUUGUAAUUCUGAACCGUGAACGCGGAGUAUCUCGUAAGUGCAGUUCAUCAGACUGCGCUGAUUACGUCCCUGCCCUUUGUACACACCGCCCGUCGCUCCUACCGAUGAAUGAUCAGGUGAAAUGCUCGGAUGGAGCAGUUGUGGAGUGCCUGCAAGGGUGCUUUGCGACCGCCCCAGAAGAGCAGUAAAUCUUAUUAUUUAGAGGAAGGAGAAGUCGUAACAAGGUUUUCGUAGGUGAACCUGCAGAAG
rnacentral:rRNA from 1 species